rnacentral:lncRNA from 1 species
CAAAGAGGAUUCUGGGAAAUGUAGUAGAGAAGUGGUGAUCCAGGCAGGAAAUGACAUAGCAAGGAGACUCAUAUCUAAGCAAGGAAACAGGAAGUGGCCCCUUUUCCACUCCACUCCUGCUCCAGAGGCACAAUGUGAUCCACCGGCAAGGAGAGACACCAAUAAGGCGUCCGAUAAGAAAGUCCUUUGAGGGGAAGGAAUCUAACAGAAAAUGUCUUCACAAAAAUCUGCCUAAAAUCAAGCCUCUGAGAUAUUUCAUGGAUGAUUGACCGGGGAAGAUGUCGACCACUCUGGGAGUUACCAUCGCAUGGACAGGGGAAAAUGCCAAGUAAGAGUAGAUUCCACCAUCACCCCU